GGGUCGUUAGCUCAGUUGGUAGAGCAGCGGACUUUUAAUCCGUUGGUCGCAGGUUCGAAUCCUGCACGACCCA
rfam:Comamonadaceae bacterium SCN 68-20 ABT02_C0007, whole genome shotgun sequence.